AGAGUUUGAUCAUGGCUCAGAGUGAACGCUGGCGGCGUGCCUAACACAUGCAAGUCGAACGAGAACGGAUUACAGCUUGCUGUAAUUGUCAGCUAAGUGGCGCACGGGUGAGUAAUAUAUAGUUAAUCUGCCCCAAAGAAGAGAAUAAUUGUUGGAAACGACUUGUAACGCUCUAUAUGCCUUUAUUACAUAAGUAAGCAAGGGAAACAUUCAUGGCUUUGGGAUGAGACUGUACGGUAUCAGCUAGUUGGUGAGGUAAUGGCUCACCAAGGCUAUGACAUCUAACUGGUUUGAGAGGAUGAUCAGUCACACUGGAACUGAGACACGGUCCAGACUCCUACGGGAGGCAGCAGUGGGGAAUAUUGCACAAUGGAGGAAACUCUGAUGCAGCAACGCCGCGUGGAGGAUGACACAUUUCGGUGCGUAAACUCCUUUUAUUAGGGAAGAUAAUGACGGUACCUAAUGAAUAAGCACCGGCUAACUCCGUGCCAGCAGCCGCGGUAAUACGGGGGGUGCAAGCGUUACUCGGAAUCACUGGGCGUAAAGAGAAUGUAGGCUGGUUAUUAAGUUGGAAGUGAAAUCCUAUGGCUCAA
rnacentral:rRNA from 1 species